rnacentral:sRNA from 1 species
CAAAAAAGAAUAUAUACGAGUGCAUUGCAUAUACUAACGGAUGCCAUCAUACCAUCACUAAUGCACCUG